CGAAAUUUAAGAUGUCCAGAACACCAACCAACCCCGGAAGAAUGUUGUGGGGCUGUCAAAAAUAUCAAGUUGGUACUGAUUGUGGAUUCUUUAGAUGGACUGAUGAAAAUGAACAAUAUAAAGGUAGACAUCGAAGACAACGAAGACAACAAUGACUGAGAAGAUAUGGAAGGCACGAAAGACAUGAAAGAUCAAUCAUUAGUAUUGAUACCACUGUUAGCAC
rnacentral:lncRNA from 1 species